rnacentral:rRNA from 1 species
GACGAACGCUGGCGGCGUGCCUAAUACAUGCAAGUCGAACGCAGUGGGGACGGGUGAGUAACACGUGGGUCACCUCCCAUCAUAGGGGUUAACACUUCGACACAGGUGCUAACCCGUAACCGAUGGAAGGCACCUCGGUGCAUUACCGAGUGGGUGGGGUAACGGCGCACCAAGGCCACGAUGCAUAGCGGACCUGAGAGGAGGAGCGGCCACACUGGAACUGAGACACGGCCCAGACGCCGAAGGGAGGCAGCAGUAGGGAAUCUUCCGCAAUGGACGAAAGUCUGACAGAGCGACGCCGCGUGAGUGAAGAAGGUUUGCGGAUCGUAAAGCCCUGUUGGUAGAGAGGCGGUAUCUAACGAGAAAGCCACGGCUAACUACGUGCCAGCAGCCGCGGUAAUAC